rnacentral:misc_RNA from 1 species
AAGCACUGGUGGUAGUAACUGUGGAGAACAAAGGUGCCACAGAAUUUGAAAACGAUAGAAAAGUAGGCUUCGAAGCUGUAGUGCUCGGAGUAGAAGGUCCUCCCGUCGAUGCUGCAUUGCUAAUACUAAACCCGAAAGAAGAUUGAGAUGCCGACGAAGCAGGUGUUCCAAAUGAGAAGCUCGAGGAACUAGUAGAGGCUGAUGUAAGAGAAGAAGAAGAAGAUGCAGUGGUAAUACUAGUAGU